rnacentral:rRNA from 1 species
AUUGAACGCUGGCGGCAUGCCUUACACAUGCAAGUCGAACGGCAGCACGGGGGCGAACCCUCGGUGGCGAGUGGCGAACGGGUGAGUAAUACAUCGGAACGUGCCCGAUAGUGGGGGAGUAGCCCGGCGAAAGCCGGAUUAAUACCGCAUGAGACCUAUGGGUGAAAGCGGGGAGUCGCAAGACCUCGCGCUAUCGGAGUGGCCGAUGUCAGAUUAGGUUGUUGGUGAGGUAAAGGCUCACCAAGCCGACGAUCUGUAGCUGGUCUGAGAGGACGACCAGCCACACUGGGACUGAGACACGGCCCAGACUCCUACGGGAGGCAGCAGUGGGGAAUUUUGGACAAUGGGCGCAAGCCUGAUCCAG